rnacentral:rRNA from 1 species
AUACGUAGGGGGCGAGCGUUGUCCGGAAUGAUUGGGCGUAAAGGGCGCGUAGGCGGCCCGGUAAGUCUGGAGUGAAAGUCCUGUUUUUAAGAUGGGAAUUGCUUUGGAUACUGUCUGGCUUGAGUGCAGGAGAGGUAAGUGGAAUUCCCAGUGUAGCGGUGAAAUGCGUAGAGAUUGGGAGGAACACCAGUGGCGAAGGCGACGUACUGGACUGUAACUGACGCUGAGGCGCGAAAGUGUGGGGAGCAAACAGGAUUAGAUACCCUGGUAGUCCACACUGUAAACGAUGAAUGCUAGGUGUAGGGGGUAUCGACCCCUUCUGUGCCGCAGUCAACACAAUAAGCAUUCCGCCUGGGGAGUACGGCCGCAAGGUUGAAACUCAAAUGAAUUGACGGGG